GACGAACGCUGGCGGCGUGCUUAACACAUGCAAGUCGAACGGAAAGGCCCUGCUUUUGUGGGGUGCUCGAGUGGCGAACGGGUGAGUAACACGUGAGUAACCUGCCCUUGACUUUGGGAUAACUUCAGGAAACUGGGGCUAAUACCGGAUAGGAGCUCCUGCUGCAUGGUGGGGGUUGGAAAGUUUCGGCGGUUGGGGAUGGACUCGCGGCUUAUCAGCUUGUUGGUGGGGUAGUGGCUUAACAAGGCUUUGACGGGUAGCCGGCCUGAGAGGGUGACCGGCCACAUUGGGACUGAGAUACGGCCCAGACUCCUACGGGAGGCAGCAGUGGGGAAUAUUGCACAAUGGGCGGAAGCCUGAUGCAGCAACGCCGCGUGCGGGAUGACGGCCUUCGGGUUGUAAACCGCUUUCGCCUGUGGCGAAGCGUGAGUGACGGUAAUGGGUAAAGAAGCACCGGCUAACUACGUG
rnacentral:rRNA from 1 species